AUGGCAAGGGAAACCAUCCUCAUCAGCAGUGAAGAGAGUGAUCACCGGACCACCUCAGAUGAUGCUUCAGAUGGCACUUCACAUGGGAGUGACGGCUAUAGCGGUGAUGACGGCACCUCUAGCGACUAUGACACUGAUGAUAGUUCUGAUGGAGAUGGAGAUGUGGACCACGAUCCUAUCUUGGCACUACGGGGUCCGGGAUACCUUGUGAGAAAAGGAACUUUCGAGGAUCGCAUCUUCUACGGCAACCAUUUAACGCUAAACGAGGAUCAGUGGGACUGUCUCAAAUCCAUAGUAAAGCAGUGCCAACCUCCCAUACCAUACUAUGUCAGCACCGUCACUCGCUCGGCAGUCAUCAGAGGGAAGAGCAAGAUGUGCUUCUCAAAGGAUUACAGUCAGGCCUACCUCAAAGAUUAUCUGCGAAAGCCCAUGGCUGGUCAGAUAAUAAAAAUGUCUUGUUCAAGAUGGGCAAGAAGGAUGGGCGUGCGAUCAUGA
rnacentral:rRNA from 1 species